GCAUAUCAAUAAGCGGAGGAAAAGAAACCAACAGGGAUUACCUCAGUAACGGCGAGUGAAGCGGUAACAGCUCAAAUUUGAAAUCUGGCUCUCGGGUCCGAAUUGUAAUUUGUAGAAGAUGCUUUGGGUGUGGCUCCGGUCUAAGUUCCUUGGAACAGGACGUCAUAGAGGGUGAGAAUCCCGUACGUGACUGGUUGCCUUCGCUCAUGUAAAGCUCUUUCGACGAGUCGAGUUGUUUGGGAAUGCAGCUCAAAAUGGGUGGUAUAUUUCAUCUAAAGCUAAAUAUUGGCCAGAGACCGAUAGCGCACAAGUAGAGUGAUCGAAAGAUGAAAAGCACUUUGGAAAGAGAGUUAAACAGUACGUGAAAUUGUUGAAAGGGAAGCGCUUGCAACCAGACUUGCAAUCUGUUGAUCAUCCGGGGUUCUCCCCGGUGCACUCGGCAGUUUUCAGGCCAGCAUCGGUUUGGGUGGUGGGAUAAAGGCCUUGGGAAUGUGGCUCUCUUCGGGGAGUGUUAUAGCCCAAGGUGCAAUGCCGCCUACCUGGACCGAGGACCGCGCUUCGGCUAGGAUGCUGGCGUAAUGGUUGUAAGCGACCCGUCUUGAAACACGGACCAAGGAGUCUAACAUCUAUGCGAGUGUUUGGGUGUCAAACCCAUACGCGUAAUUAACGUGAACGGAGGUAAGAACCCUUAAGGGUGCAUUAUCGACCGAUCCUGAUGUCUUCGGAUGGAUUUGAGUAAGAGCAUAGCUGUUGGGACCCGAAAGAUGGUGAACUAUGCCUGAAUAGGGUGAAGCCAGAGGAAACUCUGGUGGAGGCUCGCAGCGGUUCUGACGUGCAAAUCGAUCGUCAAAUUUGGGUAUAGGGGCGAAAGACUAAUCGAACCAUCUAGUAGCUGGUUCCUGCCGAG
rnacentral:rRNA from 1 species